ensembl:snoRNA
UAGGCCCUGAAUCAAGACCAGUGGUUUGCUGUAGCUGUUGGUUUCAAACAGCGCCGAAAGCAGUGUUUGGUCUAUAUUGGCUUCAGCAGCCCAGUGGGAAUGGCCAGUUCAGUGGAAAGAAACAUAG